rnacentral:rRNA from 10 species
UACGCCCGAUCUCGUCCGAUCUCGGAAGCUAAGCAGGGUCGGGCCUGGUUAGUACUUGGAUGGGAGACCGCCUGGGAAUACCAGGUGCUGUAAGCUU